AGUCAUUCAGAGGUUAUGAUUUUUGGGCUGCUGUUAUUGGAUAUCAUGCUCCAGUUCGGGACGCCAUUGGUCUGGAGCUUGUCAGUCUGUGGCGCGCCGGCGCUCGCGAAGCCGCUGCGCAGACAGUGCACGACACGCGAGUGGCCAGAGAGUGUCUGGAGUCUGUCUGAAACUGAUAAAAAUGGUGAUGGAGUUUACCCAGAGUCUCGCUCAUACUCAUUAGAAAAACAAAGGGAGACAGAGCGGAAUUAUACAAUCAUCCAACACUGUAAUCUGAUCGUAGCUUGAAAACUAGAUUCUAUUGUAGCGCAUUUCAAAGUUUUAUUCCAUGUUUUUCACCAGACAGACAGUUCAUUAAUUCACAGGCAGGAGGAUUACAUUUCUGAAGUCUUCUGAUGACCUCUUGGAGCUGUCACAGAUGCAGCUACACUUAAAGGUGAUACCUGUGUUCUGCGGUUGUGCUGCCGUGCUGCCGGAUAGUGAAGAGGAACAGAGCUGAUGUGUCUGCAGAGAUGAUACAGCAGAACAGCUUUUACCCACCUUCAUACGAUCAAUACAGAUAUAUAGCAAAUUUUCUAAAUCAGUUUUUGCUUAAGUUAAUGCUACAGUAAGUUCUAGUUCUUUUGUCAAGUUGCUCAAAUGAUCAACACUGUGAUAAUACAAUGUUAGAAUCAUUCUUAAUGUCAGACCUGUUUGUUCAAGCUUGUUUAAUUUGUCAAAUGUCGUCUUUAAAUAUACAUCACUUAUCAUUUUAUUUAAUAAACAUGAUCUAUAUGUAUUAUCCAGAUGAAUAUAUCAAGAUAUAAUUGAGCCUCGAGUUAGAUAAAUCAGUAUUUUGUCUGUAUUCCAAGUCCUUUUAUUAUUACUUAAAGGCUCAUCCAUAUGCUGCAGAAAUACAGCUUUUUUUAAUAAGCACAACUCACCAUGACAGUAAAUGCAAAUUAAUUGCAUUUUAGAUGCACUCUACUGAUUUUAUUUUUUACAUUUGUAAUGAGUGCUAGUGUAGGCGCAAUUGUAAAAAAAAAAAAAAAAAAAAAUCUACAGGCAUUUAUUUUUCGAUUUUAAUGUGCAUUGAAACUAAGUUUUAAACAUGUACUAACAUGUUUUUUUUUUCAUAUCAGGAAGGAGCUAGCAUACACACAUCAUUCGCUUAAAAUUUGUAGACCUUUAAACUAAAUGUUUUAAAUGGUUAUUUUGUCCUGCUCGUGGUUAGUUGGAGUCACGGCCAAUUAUGUCUCCAAAUGUCGUACAGUAUAAGGUCAAAAGUCGCUGUGCUGUAUUAGAAAGAUGACAGUAACCAUUCUGGAAAGGUCAGCUACUCAGUUUGUUUCCAAAGAUGAAGUGCCACAUGACGCCUUUGAGCUUUUGAUUUACUUUAUAUUAGAUUUAGUUAAUGAUAUGUCUCCCUGUUUAAUGUUCAGAAGUAAACUUCUACAUCCAAAUGUUCUCAGUUGUCCAAUAAGAUUUUAAAUAUGCCCUGGUCUCAUUUGCAUUGAAGUCAGAUUUGAAAGGUUUUGAGUAAAUGGUUAAUGAGUUGUAAUGUGUGGUUAUUUUAAUUAGAAUUUUGAAGUGGUGGGCUUCUCUAGACACUGAACAAACUUUAAAUGUAACCCUCACUCGAGUGAUUUAAAAGAUUCUGAUGUGCGAGUAUACUAAAUGUGAACAUGUCUGCAACAGAUUACUUUAAUUGUACUUUGGUUUUUAAAUAACAAUACAUUUGUUUAGUUUUUAUUCAGGGCCAGUCAGUUAACUUUUUUUUUUUUCUUUUCUUUUGUAAAAGAAACUUAAGGAGUAGAUUCAGCACUGCUGUUUUAUUAAUACCAGAUCUCAAGGCAUUUAUUUAACUGAAAAUACAGUAAAGACAAUGAUGUUUUGAAGUAUUAUCGCAAAUCAAAUAACUGUUUUCUGCUUAAAUAUAUUAGAAAAUGUAACUUCUUCCUUGUGAUGGCAAAGCUUAAUUUUCAGCAGUCUUCAGUGUCGCAUGAUCCUUAAGAAAUCAUUCUGCUGAUUUGCUUUUCAAGAAACAUUGUCUUAUUAUUAUCAAUGUUGAAAAAAAUUGUAGUUGUUGCUUAAUAUUUUUGUGGAAACUGAUGAAUAAAAAGUUUAAAAGAACUUAAUUAUUUUAAGAAAUCAUUUGUAAUGUUAUGAAUUUCUUUGCUGUCACACAUCCAUUUAAUACAUCUUUGCUGAAUAAGUGUUUUUUUUUUUUUUAAUCCUGCUGACCCACAACUUUUGAACCGUAGUGUAAUA